GCGGGUGUAGUUCAAUGGUAGAACGUAAGUUUCCCAGGCUUAUAAUGUGGGUUCGAUCCCCAUCACCCGCU
rnacentral:tRNA from 1 species